UUUGAAACUUAGAUGGAACUAUUGGGACUAGAAGCUAUCUUUACAGACAUGGGCCCAUGGCUGCCUGCAGACAAUUUGGUACCUCAUGAGGACAACCUGUCCCAGGGUGAGGCCAAUACAGAGGAGAUCCAAACUGGGAUAUGAUCAAGGAGCAUUUGAGUGGCUGGAGCUAGCCAUGUCUGAAGCUGACAUAACUUGCCUGAUUCUGCUCUUCCCUUUGCAAAAGAUGCAUCCAAUGGAAGGGAGAAAACUCAUCUUCUCUUCGCAACUGGAGUUUUCUCAUCAUCUAGAGGAUCCCACAAUUGGACAAGCUUCCCCUUGGAGCCUACAUCCACACCUGAUUAUCAGCAGGGACUCGGGCUGUGAUGAGAAGCAGGGGUGGCGUCCUGGGCCCAGAGGUCUGUUCUGGCCAAAAAGAGAUGAGUCUUUCCCUGCACAGGCUAGAACAGCUGCUGUCCCCUCCUCCAGCACUGAAACCCUGGUUCCCUCCAGCCUUCAUUUUGGGCUGAAGGCCAAAUGAUUUCCUGUGUUUUCUUUGUUUAUCAGCUCUCUAUUAUCAUGAUGGCAAGAGCCACCCACUCAAUAAAGCAAAGUAAACAAACUCCCACAAAC
rnacentral:lncRNA from 1 species